rnacentral:tRNA from 1 species
GAGGGGAUGCCGGAGCGGUCAAACGGGCCAGACUCAAGAUCUGGUGGCUACGCCUACGGGGGUUCGAAUCCUCCUCCCCUCA